rnacentral:rRNA from 1 species
UGGCGGCAGGCCUAACACAUGCAAGUCGAACGGUAACAGAAAGCAGCUUGCUGCUUUGCUGACGAGUGGCGGACGGGUGAGUAAUGUCUGGGAAACUGCCCGAUGGAGGGGGAUAACUACUGGAAACGGUAGCUAAUACCGCAUAACGUCGCAAGACCAAAGAGGGGGACCUUCGGGCCUCUUGCCAUCGGAUGUGCCCAGAUGGGAUUAGCUAGUAGGUGGGGUAAAGGCUCACCUAGGCGACGAUCCCUAGCUGGUCUGAGAGGAUGACCAGCCACACUGGAACUGAGACACGGUCCAGACUCCUACGGGAGGCAGCAGUGGGGAAUAUUGCACAAUGGGCGCAAGCCUGAUGCAGCCAUGCCGCGUGUAUGAAGAAGGCCUUCGGGUUGUAAAGUACUUUCAGCGGGGAGGAAGGGAGUAAAGUUAAUACCUUUGCUCAUUGACGUUACCCGCAGAAGAAGCACCGGCUAACUCCGUGCCAGCAGCCGCGGUAAUACGGAGGGUGCAAGCGUUAAUCGGAAUUACUGGGCGUAAAGCGCACGCAGGCGGUUUGUUAAGUCAGAUGUGAAAUCCCCGGGCUCAACCUGGGAACUGCAUCUGAUACUGGCAAGCUUGAGUCUCGUAGAGGGGGGUAGAAUUCCAGGUGUAGCGGUGAAAUGCGUAGAGAUCUGGAGGAAUACCGGUGGCGAAGGCGGCCCCCUGGACGAAGACUGACGCUCAGGUGCGAAAGCGUGGGGAGCAAACAGGAUUAGAUACCCUGGUAGUCCACGCCGUAAACGAUGUCGACUUGGAGGUUGUGCCCUUGAGGCGUGGCUUCCGGAGCUAACGCGUUAAGUCGACCGCCUGGGGAGUACGGCCGCAAGGUUAAAACUCAAAUGAAUUGACGGGGGCCCGCACAAGCGGUGGAGCAUGUGGUUUAAUUCGAUGCAACGCGAAGAACCUUACCUGGUCUUGACAUCCACGGAAGUUUUCAGAGAUGAGAAUGUGCCUUCGGGAACCGUGAGACAGGUGCUGCAUGGCUGUCGUCAGCUCGUGUUGUGAAAUGUUGGGUUAAGUCCCGCAACGAGCGCAACCCUUAUCCUUUGUUGCCAGCGGUCCGGCCGGGAACUCAAAGGAGACUGCCAGUGAUAAACUGGAGGAAGGUGAGGAUGACGUCAAGUCAUCAUGGCCCUUACGACCAGGGCUACACACGUGCUACAAUGGCGCAUACAAAGAGAAGCGACCUCGCGAGAGCAAGCGGACCUCAUAAAGUGCGUCGUAGUCCGGAUUGGAGUCUGCAACUCGACUCCAUGAAGUCGGAAUCGCUAGUAAUCGUGGAUCAGAAUGCCACGGUGAAUACGUUCCCGGGCCUUGUACACACCGCCCGUCACACCAUGGGAGUGGGUUGCAAAAGAAGUAGGUAGCUUAACCUUCGGGAGGGCGCUUACCACUUUGUGAUUCAUGACUGGGGU